rnacentral:lncRNA from 12 species
GUUAUGGGCAGAUACCUUGAUUUUUAAAACAUUGGUUCAUUUUUGUUAAGAACAGUGCCCAGGGCAAGCGCAGCCCUUGGGCUACUACCCUGUGACGGAGUGAGUGGGGCCUGGGGCACUCCGCGGCUCUGGAGCAGGCUUGACACGUCGGCGGGCAGCACUGCGGGCCAGGGGACGAGGUGGCAGCCUGGUCUGGUAAGCAUUUUCCUUGUCCACUCUGAAGCACACGCACAUUCUGAUUGGAGCUUCGUGACACGAACAACCGUGGAAAGGCACACAAUGACUACCUUUCUUAACAAAUGAUUUGAAUCUGUGGAGGAAAAAACAAGCCCCUUCCCUUUCCUGAGUAUUCCGUUUUGCAUUUGUAACUAGAGCUGAGGAUAAGUAGCAUUUUCCUCCGUGACCCCGUGUUUUAUUCUUUGCUGGUUCGCCACAUCUACAUAACUUCCCAAAGUAUUGUUGUUUGAUUAUUUUUUUUUCCCACAAAUAUGGACUGCCUCGAUUUAGGAAAACACUACUGAGAAUUCCUGAUGGCUCACAUACCCCAUUACCUGUCUGGCCGAGAUAUGACGGUGUCAUCAGAAGGUCUGCAGUUUAAAAGCCUAGAUAUUCCCUUGGAAAGGAGUUGGUGCCUCAUCAGAAAAGGGCUGCAAAUUGUUCCUCCUUCGCUGUGGAUUCCUUUGCAACAAGAUGAAAAUGGAAGGCUUAAGGCUGAGUAAAAACAAAGAACAUAACCUAAGCUCUUUUGGAUCGACCCAUCAUCAUCUUCAGAAGGCAAAGAAAAUGCAGAAUGGUUCGAAAAGAAGUGGGUGGGUGGGAGGGCUCUCCUUCAGGAACCCCCCAAAAUUUCAAGAAUCUAUCAAGGAAAAUAGGCCCACCAGAAUGCUGGAGUUGCUGCAUGCAGAGCUUAUAAAAAGAAAUGGAUCUAAGUGGUACAAGGGAUGGACCAUAGAAGAUGCUGUAAUAUGCCAUCUGGUUCCUGCUUCAAGACUGAAGGACUUAUUUCCCCAAGUUCCUGAGAGUUCUGCUGGUCAACAGCCUUCAGCAAUCAGCACUUGUUUGGGUAAUUGCCCUUGGCUGAAGAGAGUUACCUUGCCCAAAGAACAGUCCUCAUUCAAUGAGCGGUAA